CUGAUUCGCUAAACUGGGCCUCGGCUGGGCCUGCAUCCAUGCUCAAUUGUGUCCAUCGUAGUUCACCGUCGUUUUCCAUAUCUGGUUGUAUGUGCGUGUGCUUGAAUUAAAGGAAAUUAGAGAAAAAAUAUGGUUGACGCCGCUGGGAUUUGAUCCAUGGUCUGCCAUGUAUAGAUUGCAGCGCAGCAGACCACUAAGGCUAGGCUCCUAAGCUUGCUAAUUUGGGCGUCUGGAACCUUAAGAAUAAAGGACAGGCGUACUCGGGCCGAGAUCAACAGGCACGGUCGUGAUGGGCAUGUACGAGUGCCGCGGCCCACUGGACGGACAAGGGACCAGGCUGGAAGUUGUUUUUCAUAUUUGUUUACUUGUCAAAUAGUCCCACCUUGCUAUUUUACAUUAAUUUUUACCAGUUUAUAUACAAUUUUUAGGUUGUCAGGCAUCAAGAAGCUGCUUUGGAAAUUAAGCAAAGAAAUAAAGAAAGGAAAUAGACAUUCUUUGCAUGAGAAAUAAAGAAGGAAGAUGGUAAUUAUGUGGAGCCGGCAAGAAAGGCCUAGCAAAAAAGGAAAAAAUAAUUGCAUGAGAAAUAAAGAAGGAAGGAGAAAGAGAGAGGAAGGAAAUGGACGGUAAUUAUGUGGGCAUCAUGAUAUAAGGAAA